CAUAUAAUAUAUCAACAAUACCUUCAGGCGAGAUGAUGUCUACUACUACAACCAUAGGUAAUCUAACAUUCGGUACCAUCACCGUGGUAGAUGCUAGCGACGUCACUCUUACACCAUCUUUCGCUUUUAAUAAAAAUUUUACAUACGACAGUGUGAUAUAUAUUCAUUAUUCAUUUGCUACUCUGUUUCCAUUCAGUGAAACGAAUUCGUUUAGAUUGAACGAAUGUGGAAGUCAGCCGCCAUAUUUUUGUUUAGCGUUUACGUCACCCUCUAUACACCACAGGAUUGGACAGAUCAACAUAUUAGGCGAACCAAAUAAAUGGGCUCCUAUAUCCCCACAAAGAAUAGUAGAUAUUACUAUCAACAAUGACGUCAUCGUUGCCGUUAAAGGGAAGCCUGGUUACCAAGGAGAGUUUGCUUAUGCAAUAAAUGGGGUUGCAAAAUUUACUACAUUUAUUAUUCAAGAAAAUGGAUAUGCUACGAUAAAUAUUACCGGUCCUACCUUUACCACAACACCAAAAUCAAUAGUUAAUUCAUCUCCAAUUUUACCUGCCGUCACCACAGACAGUUCAGC